GACGAACGCUGGCGGCGUGCUUAACACAUGCAAGUCGAACGGAAAGGCCCUGCUUUUGUGGGGUGCUCGAGUGGCGAACGGGUGAGUAACACGUGAGUAACCUGCCCUUGACUUUGGGAUAACUUCAGGAAACUGGGGCUAAUACCGGAUAGGAGCUCCUGCUGCAUGGUGGGGGUUGGAAAGUUUCGGCGGUUGGGGAUGGACUCGCGGCUUAUCAGCUUGUUGGUUGGGUAGUGGCUUACCAAGGCUUUGACGGGUAGCCGGCCUGAGAGGGUGACCGGCGACAUUGGGACUGAGAUACGGCCCAGACUCCUACGGGAGGCAGCAGUGGGGAAUAUUGCACAAUGGGCGGACGCCUGAUGCAGCAACGCCGCGUGCGGGAUGACGGCCUUCGGGUUGUAAACCGCUUUCGCCUGUGGCGAAGCGUGAGUGACGGUAAUGGGUAAAGAAGCACCGGCUAACUACGUG
rnacentral:rRNA from 1 species